rnacentral:rRNA from 1 species
UCUUGGAAAUAAAAAGAAAAAUCUACCAGAGUACUAUGAAUCAAACAUUUAAAACUCAAAGGGCUUGGCGGUGCUUUAGACCUUUCAGGGGAACCUGUCUCAUAAUCGACAAUCCACGUUGCACCUGACCUUUUCUUGUAAACAAUUUGUAUACCGUCGUCGUCAGGUAACUUUUAAAAAUUUAGUAGUUAGCAGAUCAACUUUAAUAAGUUUAAACGUCAGAUCAAGGUGCAAUUAAUGAAAAGGUAGAGAUGGGUUACAGUUAUUUAUUAAUAAUACGGAAAAUUAGCUGAAACGCUGCUUAGAAGGAGGACUUGAAAGUAAAGAAUAUUUAUGUAUAUAUCUUGAAUGAGGCUCUGAAGCGUGC